GCUAAGCAACGUAUUCACAAAUUUGUACCAACGCGCAAAUGCAUGCACAUCCCACGCGCAGUGUGCAGGCCAUUGACGUGAGAUCUAUUAGUCGUGGCAUGCGGAAAGUCGACACUAGAAAUAACUUUGCAGCUCCAAAGUUGUGACGGGAACUUGCUGCAUCCAAAAUGUCCGUUGUUGUGCCCAACGACAGGGGUGACGGUCUGUCCGUCGUGUCCCCAGCAACGAACACUGCACUGCCAGUGCCCAUGCCGCCGCCGAACUCUCUGCCGGGCGGUACGGUGGUGCCGAGCAGCGGUGUAUUUCUCUCCGCCCCGGCCCCCGUCCCGGUGCCGCUUCCCGUGCAUACACCGCCGAUGAAGAUGGCGGAUCCCAGCAUUGAGAAACAACACCCACCGAUUCCAAACAGCACUGAUUACCUAGCUCAGCUUUUAAACGACAAGAAGUCUCUCUCUGUGUUACCAAACAUGUUUAUGCACGUGGAAAGAAUUAUCGAUGAAGAAAUAAGCAAAGUGCGCAAGAACAUGUACAACAUCAACAAUGACAACACGCCUCUCGUACUUCCAGAACCCCAAGGUGCUCCAAUUACGCUCUCGGAAAAGCUCUACGUACCCGUCAAAACAUACCCAGAUUUUAACUUCGUAGGCAGAAUACUGGGGCCCCGUGGCAUGUAUGCCAAACAACUGGAGAAGGAGACGGGAUGCAAGAUCAUGAUCAGAGGAAAAGGCUCCAUGAGAGACAAAAAGAAGUUGGUCGGGCAGGAGGAGCAGAAUAAAGACAAGCACAACUGGGAACACCUCUCGGAGGACCUACACGUCCUGGUCACCGUGGAGGAUACACCCAACCGGGCCCAGCUGAAGAUGGACCGCGCCAAGGCUGCCAUCAAGAAGCUACUUGUACCCACGGCGGACGGUGAAGAUGAGCUGAAGAAGAGACAGCUGAUGGAGUUGGCCAUCAUCAACGGCACAUUCAGGGACACCUCCAGCAAAAACAGUAGCAAUCCUAGCACGCCUCUUGUUGAAAUUCCGCCUGGUGGCUGCGCAUUCAUACCAGCUUCCCCCCGACCAAUGAUCGCGCCGGGCGCUGCCCUCAUCCCCCAACCACUGCGGUCGCCGACGCCGGCCGCCAACCCGCAGCUCCUCGCCCACCCCCCGGCAGCACUCUUCCCGCGGAUGGCCAGCGGCCAGACCCUCCUUGCCAACAGCGUGGCCCCGCCCAUGGUGUCGACAGCCGAUGGGACCAGCUUCAUGAUCUCUCCCUACGAGCACUACCCAUACGCCGUGACGCCCACCGUGCUCGACUACCCUCCCACGCCGUCUGAGGGUACUAUUGGUGCUGUACCCAAAAUUCGGAGAACAAUCAGGGAACACCCCUAUCAGAGGGUCCUUGAUACACGAGGUAAUGAUAUCCAUUUUCUCACUCUUUUAACUCCUAUUUUAUUGCAUCUGUAUCUCACCCUUGUUUCCCCCCCAACUGUUUUGCCAUAUUUUUUGGGGUGGCUUGUUUGGCUUGAUAUUUCUCUCUUCUCUCUGCGGAUGGUUGCAAUAUAUGUUUCCUCAAACUGAGCACAGAGUUCCAACAUUAAAAUGUUUUUUCUUUAGAGGAGUGUUUGGUUUGAUCACGGUACAUAAAAAAAUAACGCCUGUUUAAUUAUUAACGUUAACAUUUAGUCUGUCAAUACUAAAAAAAAAAUUUUUGCUGGUCGCUACUUUUUUUUUCUGGAUUGCACAGUUCCCAUGAAUAACCAUUAUCACCCAAAGUCGAUUUGUAGAACUAAUCACCAUUUUCAGUCCAUAAUCAAUAUUUAUUCUGACAAAGAGAAUUGUCAAAGAAAUGUCAGUGUCAGGUACUAAUUUCAGCAGAAGUUGUGCAAUUGCAAAAACAUGAUUCUGAAAUUUGUAUUGCAGAUUCCAGAAUUUCUUACAGGACAAUGGGUAAAAAAGAUAUAUCAUUUCAUUUUUUUUUUACAAGUUCUUUGUAAAAGGUGACAUAAGUUGAAACAUGCUUCCAAAUUUUUGAGAACAGUGGAACGUGGCCAGUUCUGUUGUACUCUGUUAUGAAAAUGUAGUCAUUAUUCAAAAGUACUGCAAAUUGAGAUGUUUGACACUGCUUAGAUAUGAAGGUUGGAUAGAAAAACUGUCUGAGUGGUUAUCAUUUGUUCUUCACUGCCCAUGAAAGUUACGUCUAUUGUGAAAUGUUUCUUGCCUUUGCCUUUGUUAAAACACAGACGCUUAUAACGGCAAAUUAGACAUUGUAAACAAUUGAUUGUAUUCAGUUGAUCAUGGCUUGUGAUGGAUUGGUUGUAUCUGAUGUACCCUUAUCUUGUAAAAUCUAUUUGGCAGACUCGUGUACCGUUAGCAAAAAAAAAAAUUGAUUUUGAAAAUGGAACAAAGCAACAUUUUAAUGUGUGGAAUCUGUGCUCCUUAUGAGGUCUUUUCAUGAGCUGAGGUCAGGAGCGGGGCUGAUCACUAAUAUGCAGAACUGAUUUAAAAUGUUGAUGGAUAGAAACAUGGUAGCCUGAGGGGUCCAUCCCAGCCCUGCUCAGUUUAAUUUGGUAAGUACAUGUAGUGUUUCAACCCCCCAAGUGACUCAGAAAUUGUUCAUUUAAAGCUGCCCUCCUGACCUCACUACACGAUUUAUUUCAUUACCAAUGUUUCCCCUUGUUUUGCAGCUGAAUUGCAAUCUUGUGUGAAUUUUUUUUGCAGAGAGAGAGGAAAAUAUUUACGUUGCGUUGGGUCAGAGCACAUUGUUGACCAGAUAUGUUGGUCCAUCCCCCUAGCACUCUGUUGAUUGUCAGACUCCCAGAUAUACAUGUAUGUUGAAUUUCUUGAGGGGAAAAAUUUGCAAUGUGGAGUGAAAUUUGUUCAUCGAACCGAGCAGUAAAAUCUGGUUUGGAUACCUCAAGACACUUUGAAAUAUCUCAUAGUUAUCCCAAAGAUGUCAGAUUGAAAAGAAGAAAAAGUCUGGCAUCAAUAGAGUGCCUGGUGCAUUUCUGUUGAAACAUGCAUUGAUUGUAUUUUUUCAUCAAAAUGGCUGUGCAAAGCCGGGCAAUCACUAGGAAUGCUCGGGGGGAAAGCCGCAAACCCCAGUUCUGGUCUAAUUUAUGUGUGCUUUACUAUAUUGAAACAGUUGUGCUUUUCCGUCCAAAGAAAUGUGCUCUAAUCCAAUAUAUAUCUCUCUCUGACAAUCUUCUUUUUUCUUUCUUUCCGAUUUUUGAACUUGAUUUAUGACAUGUAUUUAAAUAUUAUGGACACAGCUCCAAACUUCUUGCAACAAUAAUGCUAGAGUGUAUACAUUUUUUAAAAAUUACAGACCGUGUAAUCGAUAUUUUUUGUGGUUGAUGUUUUUAGUUCUAAGAAGUUGGGUUUUUAUAUUAUGAAUUAUGGUAUUAUAAGGAAGAAAAGUAGAGCAGAUAUAUAUAUUGUUAUGGUAUGAGAGAUAGCGUCUGUAGCCUAAUGGGGUGUGCUGUUUUAUCAAUUUUGGUGGAAGAGAAGGAUCGUGAAUUGGAUGGCUUAGCCACUUUUUUUGUACAGAAUUUGUAUUUUAUUUAGUGGUAAUAUUUGUAUGAGUAUUUCGUGUGACACGUUUAGGAGGGAGAACUAGAAGGAAGUGGUAUUUUUGCCCAUUUUUGGUUUCAUUUGUUUGUUUGUCUGUCUGUCUGUCGGUUGGUUGGUUGGUUGGCAGGGGAAGCGUGGAGGAAAUAAUUGUUUCACAUACUGCCACAUAUUUUUAAAGUCAGUGCCUCCCUCCCUCCCUUAAAAACAACUUAGGAGAGAAAUUUACCAUUCUGGGACCUCCCAUUCUGGGCCCGAGUGUGUGUUGCCUGCAGUAGUCUUUCAAAAAUAAUUCUCAAGUUGAACGCUAAGUUUAUUGUUGUUCAAAUCGGCUGCACUGGAGGUUGAUUUUUAUUUCCCAAAUGUAUACAUUUGCAUCCACCUUAUGGCAAUAAACUGAAGAUUUACGGAGCAAGCCAGUGAAUGUUUCAGUUCGGUGAAUACUUAGGAAGAAGAAAGGCAUGGAAAGUAGAUGCAAAAGUAAAAAAAAAAAAAGAAUUCUCUUUUUCCACAAAGAAUCACAGUUUUCAGUUUUGCAGCCCAAAUUCACGAAAGACUAUUGUCAGAAUUAUGUGAUUGUUUUUACAGUUUCGUGACUUAAGUUUGUACUCUUUUUUUUUAAAAAGUGCAAUCACCUUUAGACCCUUUUGCUAAUGCACUGAUUGGGGGAAUGGGUCCAAACAGAAAAUGUUCAAGAUGGCUCUGGCUUGGUUGUCGAUUACAAACUGACUAAAGAAGCUUAUUUGCAUGCGAGUUGGUGAUUGAGCAGUCUUACCAGUUUCUAAAAGAGAAACUUGCUUUCAGUGGUUUUCAUACAAGAAGCGAUGCCAUAUGUAUUAGAAAGAGAAACUAAAGCCAAGUUGCCUAUUAAAUGUCAGCGAGCUCACACCUUGGCUUAUGGAUACAACCACAGACGCAUGCGUGAUAUCCAUUGAAGUCACCGCUGCUGUAGGAAUCAGGUCUGGGUUUCUUGCUUCCACCAGCUAGGAAAAAAAUCUGGCUAAGCUAAUUUAGCCUGCUGUGUAAAUUACUUGCAGAGUACCGGAUUACUUGCAGAGUACCGGCUACAGAUAGUAUGUUUUGAAUACUGUUUUGCUGGUAACCAGUUUUACCAAGCAGUCUUUUUUUUCUUUAGCCCUUUGUUCUGGGUGAAAAGCUCACUGACGUUUGCUUGAAAGCUCUGCUGACCUUUUUCUUUUACUUGAGCCUAAUUCAAUAUUCAGCAGGCCUAGAGUACCUCCAGUUUCUGGAAUAUCAAUGCAGUUACCGAAGCCAAGUUAACCAACUUUCUUCAGAAACUUACCAAGUUGAAAAAAAAAGUGUUCAAAUCGGCAAAAAAAAGAACCAAAAGUGGUUGCAGACCAGUUUCUAAACUUUCGAUGAAACCGCAGUGAAAUGCAAAAUGCAGGACAGGCAGUUUCAUCGGCAGUUUUUCAAACUCGGAUCUGGAAGUUUCUCUGAGUGUAUAUCAUCUCGGCGGGUCUUGCAAAUGGCAUUACCGGGAAGGACCUCUCUUGUCCGCAUUUGAAACUAUUGGACAUGAAUACAGUUAGUAUCGGUAGUACAGUAGAAGGAAACAAAACGACUCAACCAAACUAACACUGUUACGAAACUAAGCCACGGAGCCAUGACUUGCGCUUUCCUAACCAAACCCAGAUCAAACUGGUGACCUUUGGCCUAACUCGUGGUAUUUUUUGUCUCUUUGUUUCUCUCUUCUCCUCCUCUUCUCACCGCGCGUGCGUGUGUGUGUGCGUGUGUGUGUACGCCACAUUGGCUUCCCUCUCGCAGAGCUUCCCGGCAUGGUAUUGGGAGCGACUCCUCUCCCAACCCUCUGAUGUCUCGAAAGUCUUGAUGCACCAUGGUACAGUACUGCCUAAUGUUUGAUAUUUCUUUAGAGUACACUGUAUUUCAAACCGUUAAGAAAAAUUAACAUCCAUUGACCAACCGCAGCUGCUCUUAAACAAGGUUGAAUUCCUUUGCUUCUUAAUUAAAAAAGAAAAAAGUUUUUUAUAGCAGGGCUCUUUGAAAUUGCUUAACAUUUUAUUUGGAAAUUUGCCUGUGGGAAAUUGCUGUGGUUUUGAUCUGGAUCUCAACCAAGAUGUUGUUACCACUAGCCAAGAUGAUGUGUGGAGUUUGUUUUCCUCGGCGGAUAUGCAAAAUGACUCUCUUUUAUUAUGCAUGUACACGCCCGUGAUACAGUAUAAAUGCAUCAGGUGCAGAUCUGUAAGGCUUUGUGCACCUUGCAAUUAUGUAUCAGGUCGAUGCAAAUUCUGCUUUACUAUGUGAGAACUGUACGAGGCAUAUUGCAAUUGACAGUUGUAGAGAGUUUCAGAGAUCAACCGAACUCCCAUCGCAGCGACUCAUCCGCGGUGGUCACGCAUCCGGCAAAAUGCCUCUAAGUCUCCAUUCAUACUUCAUGAGAAGUUCAGAAAUCACCAAAUGAACAGUUAAUCCCUUCAAGUACGUCCUUGCGCCUUGGGGGCCAGUUGUAGGGAGCGUCUCCCACAAUGAAAUAUUCAACAAUGAAGUAAGGUCGCUAAUGGGCUAAUUCCGGUAAUUUGAGCAUUGCAAAGCAGGAAUUCCAUAUAUGAUUAAUCAGCCGAUCCUGGUGGGGGGGAGGGAACUUACCUGAAGCUGACUUUCAUCAGAUAAUUUUCCUCUCUGUCUCCACCUUCACUCGAAAAGUUUUGUGAAAAAUGCACUCUGCUGACGUUUCAAGUUUGUUGGACAACAGGUUGUACUCAUGUUAUAGAAACUGGCCCCCCCAAAAUCUUGUGUUCGUAUCUGUGCACAUGUGUGCAGACUGGUUUAUCCCAUCUGUUUCGGGGUCACAAAUACAUCUCCAGUGUGGAAUUGGUCAAUGGAUGGCUUUUUUUAGACCCCAAUAUCCAUGAUGCGGUCAGUACUGUGUUGUAAAUACGAUCUUUUUAUAUAAUCAAUGGUUCAACGGUAUGUACUUACUAUCACCCAUGUAAACUUUGACCUAUAUAUGCAACUUGUUAAAACCCUGCAGUGCCUGUUUUUAUUGAAGCAAUUUGUACUUAUGUGUUGACGGAUUUUAACAGGAAAUAUUUUGUAUCAAGUAUUACUUUUUGUGUACUCCACAUCAGGGCAUUAAUUUCUUUUGUAUUAUUUUCUGUUUAUUUUGGGCUUUUUUUUUAUUUUGUAAAAUCAGUAAGCUUUUAAAUGGUAAUUUUGUGAAGGAUACAGAGAGUCGUUUGUAGCAACAUGAAUGUGACAAUGCCAGUUAUUGGACUAGUUUUUUUUCUCUCACUUAGACAUGUUACCACUGCUUAAAAUCCAGAAAACUUCCUUUGUGGCUUGUUUGCAGACAAGCUUUGAGGAGAAGAAAUGUCAGAACUUCAGUUCCAAAAAAUGAAGUUUCAACUUCAAAAAGCCAAACAGCAACUCAACACCCAACUCUCUUCCCAUUGUCUCAGGUUUUGAUCUUGGUUUCAUGUAGAAUUUCUUUACUCCACAUGCACUCACUGAAAGUACAACAAAGCACAAAAAAAAAACUUGCACAAAAUAAUUUAUUGCCCCGAAGAAAAAACAUCGGUUUAAUAUGCAACCAAUACACAGACCCAGUACUUACAUUUUUCAACAGGUUAAAUACAAAAAUUCUCCUUUUGUUCUGUUGCUUUCUACCGAAAAAGUAUUAUAUUUUUUGUAUUUGUAUAUUUAUGAUAUCGUGUAAGGGGUCUGCAAUGGGAAAUGGAUAUAUUAAGUGCUCAACCUUAUUCAGUAAAGGAUAUAUAUAUUUUCAUUACCAAAAAAAAAAAUUAAAGACAAGUACUGAAUAAGGUAGACGAGUUUAAUGUUUAUAUAUUUUUGUGAAUGGUUGCCUUAAAUUGUACUCAAUUUUUGUUUUAUUUACUGUUUAUACCAUGACGUAUAUUUGGGAAACAUGUAGUCGUAUCUUUUUGUCUUCCGUAUGUAGACCGUUAUCUCAUAAGGUUUCACUUUCACGUGACGGGUUGUCUUGUAGUGGUUUUAUAAGGUGGUACAUGUACCGUAGAUGCCCUAGGAGUAAGAAUGUUAUCGUUGAACUGCUCAGGCGUAAACAGUGGCUUUCAUGUGAGAUCCUCUAAAAGCUGCGGGAUGAAACGAAACAGUUAAAUUUUUACUGCCGCCAUUUGAAGCUCUAAUGGCCAGUGUGGUAUUUUUUUAUUUGGCCCGCGGGAUACCAGCACUUCCACACUGCCAUAGUAGACCAUCUGGUUGGAGGAACCAGCAUUAUGUUUGGGCAGUUCAUUUAUGGGUGUCUGUUGUUUUUUGUUGUUUUUUAGUAUAAAGAACUGUUACAAGUGAGGGUUUUUAUUAUCGGUGUGAGAAGAGAAAAUAAAAUAAAAAGAAAGGAAAAAGAUCGAAAAACCAAUACGGUCGUACAUUUUAGUCAUCAAUUUCAGUGAUGUAAAUUUAAAUACAUGUUCCAAUACAAAUGGAGUUGUCCCAACUGGGCUUGUAUGGGUGAUUCCAUUAAAAAUGGGGGUGAUAGAAUUGUUCUGUUUCCAACACCUCUCGUUGGAAAAGAUGCAAAAAACUACAGAUGGCAGUUCUGAACUCAAGAAUAGUUUGGCACGACGCUUUAUUAACUUAUUCUAAUAUCACGGUACCCUCACGUUAAUGUAUGUGCUGUAAUUAAAAAUUUGAGUAUGUUAAGGAUGUUAAUAGAGGGACUUUGUAACAGUUGUAACAAGUGGUUUGUUAAUUAAUUAAGUGGUUAUUAAUAUUCAUGUUAACAAAAUGUGACGCUUUACAAAUUGCAGCCUCUCUAAGAAUAUUGAACUUGAAAUUAUGAAUCAGUUUUUAGGAUUUGAUUGAGCUCAUAUAUUUGCAGAUUUAACAGUGACCGUAAUUUCAAUUUCAAGAUAGGUUUGUCACCCCAAACGAGGUUAUUUGUAAAGCGUAGCAACAUGUACUUUGCUAACAACGUUCAUUACUUUUGUCAUAAACCAAACCAAAUGCCCACCGCACGGAGCCCGUCAGCUGAGUGCUAAACCGAACCCAACAGGGCCCUGGCCAAUGAGAACGCAGCGAGGACUGACGCUGUCAUUGACUAAGCCAGCGACUAACCCCUCAAGCAUCAGCUGCACAGGGUCACAAGCAUUAAGUCUCCCCCCUCUCCUACCUACAACCACAGUGGCUGCUGGUCUAGUUACCAGUUUGUGGCAAUUGCCUGGUACCCUGCGGCCGACCGUCAUCUACUCCAGGAGAUCAUCUGUAGCGUGUACUUACACCAAGCACUGUUUUUUUGUCUCCAAAUAACCAAGUCUAGUCUU
rnacentral:misc_RNA from 1 species